rnacentral:rRNA from 1 species
AUACGUAGGGUGCGAGCGUUGUCCGGAAUUACUGGGCGUAAAGAGCUCGUAGGUGGUUUGUCGCGUCGUCUGUGAAAUUCCGGGGCUUAACUCCGGGCGUGCAGGCGAUACGGGCAUAACUUGAGUACUGUAGGGGAGACUGGAAUUCCUGGUGUAGCGGUGAAAUGCGCAGAUAUCAGGAGGAACACCGGUGGCGAAGGCGGGUCUCUGGGCAGUAACUGACGCUGAGGAACGAAAGCAUGGGUAGCGAACAGGAUUAGAUACCCUGGUAGUCCAUGCCGUAAACGGUGGGCGCUAGGUGUAGGGGUCUUCCACGACUUCUGUGCCGUAGCUAACGCAUUAAGCGCCCCGCCUGGGGAGUACGGCCGCAAGGCUAAAACUCAAAUGAAUUGACGGGG